GCUACACAAACCUUCUGGUACACCUGUGAUUCGCUCUCCUCCUCCGUUCACGAAAUGAACGGGGCAGCACGACGAAUCAGGAUCGUAGGGAGGGAUUUCAGUGGGUAUGACGUUUAUCGAACGCGACACCCUCCCCCAGGGUAGUUCGGCUGUGCCCGCCCCCUCCCUGAAUCACAACAGUAAUGGCGGCGUGCGAGGAGUUAUCAUGCGUCGGGAUGGAAGCAGCAAUUUCAGCGGUGUUAUCCAAAAUACCUCAAGUUGAUUCUCUAAAGGAGGAGCAGUCCCGAGUCAUGGCUAAAGAAGAAGUGGCUGGCUAUGCUUUCUUCUGAAGUCUAUCAAAAAAACCUGGUGGGAAUUGUUGUGGAUGAAGUUCACGUAAUCUACAGAUGGGGCAACGGUGUAAAGGGGAAUCCAGCAUUGAGAGAGAGAGCUUUUCUCGCCUGGGACAACUCUGCUCAGUUGUGAAAGAAAGGCACACCUGUCAUGGCUUUGACGGCUUCAGCAGAAGUUGUCAACAGAGAGAGGGUCAUCAAGCUGCUACACAUGCACAAUGCAACCCGGGUGACAGUGAGCCCAAAUAGACAUAACAUCAGGCUUGGCCUGAAACAUGUAUCUAGUAAUACCCUCUACCCUCACAUGCAGUCUUGUAUGCAAUCAAAGGAUCACCUAGGGUUGACAAGACAGUGAGAGAAGUGAUUAAGGCAGGCACACAAGGCUGUUUAAGGAGA